rnacentral:rRNA from 1 species
AUGGUAGGAUAGAGGCCUACCAUGGUGGUAACGGGUAACGGGGUGUUAGGGCACGACACCGGAGAGGGAGCCUGAGAAACGGCUACCACAUCCAAGGAAGGCAGCAGGCGCGCAAAUUACCCAAUCCCGACACGGGGAGGUAGUGACAAUAAAUAACAAUACAGGGUUCUCUAGGAUUUUGUAAUUGGAAUGAGUACAAUUUAAAUCUCUUAACGAGGAACAAUUGGAGGGCAAGUCUGGUGCCAGCAGCCGCGGUAAUUCCAGCUCCAAUAGCGUAUAUNAAAGUUGUUGCAGUUAAAAAGCUCGUAGUUGAAUUUCGGGAUCAAGUCGUCGGUCGUGCUUAGGUACGUACUGGCGUCAUUGAUUUCUCCCUUCUGACGAACCAUGAUGUCAUUAAUUUGGUGUUAUGGGAAAUCAGGACUGUUACUUUGAAAAAAUUAGAGUGUUUAAAGCAGGCUCACGCUUGAAUACAUUAGCAUGGAAUAAUGAAAUAGGACGUUCGAUCCUAUUUUGUUGGUUUUAGGAUCAACGUAAUGAUUAAUAGGGAUAGUUGGGGGCAUUAGUAUUCAAUUGUCAGAGGUGAAAUUCUUGGAUUUAUUGAAGACUAACUACUGCGAAAGCAUUUGCCAAGGAUGUUUUCAUUAAUCAAGAACGAAAGUUAGGGGAUCGAAGACGAUCAGAUACCGUCGUAGUCUUAACCAUAAACUAUGCCGACUAGGGAUCGGAUGAUGUUAAUUUUUUAAUGACUCAUUCGGCGCCUUACGGGAAACCAAAGUGUUUGGG